UCCAGACUCCUACGGGAGGCAGCAGUGAGGAAUAUUGGUCAAUGGCCGGAAGGCUGAACCAGCCAAGUCGCGUGAGGGAAUAAGGCCCUAUGGGUCGUAAACCUCUUUUGUCAGGGAGCAAAGGGCGCCACGUGUGGCGUUUUGCGAGUACCUGAAGAAAAAGCAUCGGCUAACUCCGUGCCAGCAGCCGCGGUAAUACGGAGGAUGCGAGCGUUAUCCGGAUUUAUUGGGUUUAAAGGGUGCGCAGGCGGAAUGUCAAGUCAGCGGUAAAAUUUCGGGGCUCAACCCCGUCGUGCCGUUGAAACUGGCGUUCUUGAGUGAGCGAGAAGUAUGCGGAAUGCGUGGUGUAGCGGUGAAAUGCAUAGAUAUCACGCAGAACUCCGAUUGCGAAGGCAGCAUACCGGCGCCCGACUGACGCUGAGGCACGAAAGCGUGGGUAUCGAACAGGAUUAGAUACCCUUGUAA
rnacentral:rRNA from 1 species